GGGGAGCUUGCUGAGUAAGCGGCCAAUAAGGAGAGGCGAGGCGCAAGUCUUAAUCUGAUCUGCCUUAGGAGGAUCCCGAAGGUUCGAUUCCUUCACUCCCCA
rnacentral:tRNA from 1 species